rnacentral:misc_RNA from 1 species
GAUGAAGAACGCAGUAAAAUGCGAUAAGUAAUGUGAAUUGCAGAAUUCAGUGAAUCAUCGAAUCUUUGAACGCACAUUGCGCCCGCCAGUAUUCUGGCGGGCAUGCCUGUUCGAGCGUCAUUUCAACCCUCAAGCCCUCGGGUUUGGUGUUGGGGAUCGGCGAGCCUUUCUGGCAAGCCGGCCCCGAAAUCUAGUGGCGGUCUCGCUGCAGCCUCCAUUGCGUAGUAGUAAAACCCUCGCAACUGGAACGCGGCUCGGCCAAGCCGUUAAACCCCCAACUUCUGAAUGUUGACCUCGGAUCAGGUAGGAAUACCCGCUGAACUUAAGCAUAUCAAUAAGCGGAGGA